rnacentral:piRNA from 1 species
CCAUGCCUAGAACCACUGUCCAGAAGCCC